GGGGGGUCCCCGGGGAAACGGGGGGGUCCCCGAAACCGAGGGGGGGUCCCUGAAGCGAGGGGGGGUCCCUAAAGCAAGGGGGGCCCCCCCCAGGCUGACGCCGUCCCCCCCCCGCAGGUGGAGGUGGUGGAGGGGGUGCUGCAGUGCCCGGACUCGGGGCGCCAGUUCCCCAUCUCCAAGGGGAUCCCCAACAUGCUGCUGGGCGACGACGAGGGCUGAGCGGCGGCGGCGACACGCGUGUGCGGCGGUGACACGCGUGUGCGGCGGCGACACGCGUGUGCGGGGCAGUGGCGGGCGAGAACAGGCCGGCAGACACCUGUGCGGAGCGGCACACGCGUGUGCGGGGUGGCUGCACACACGGACGCCUACACAGGGCAGCCGCACGCGUGAACAGGUCAGCGGACACGUGUGUGGGUUGCCGCACGCGUGUGUGGGGCAGCGGUGUGUGCAAACGGGCAGUAAACAUGUAUGUGGGGUGCCACACGCGUGUGCAGUGCCCCCGCAUAGAAAAAGGGCGUUGAACACGUAUGUGGGAGGCCACACGCGUGUGCGGGAGGACCACGCAUGUAAAUGGGCCACUGAACACAUAGAUGCCACACACGUGUGCGGGGUGGCCACACGCGUGAAUAGGCUGCCGAACACGUGUAAACAGGCCGUUGAACACCCACGUGGGAUGCGACUCGCGUGUGUGGGAUGGCAGCGCACGUGGCAGGGCCGUGAAAUGCACACGUGUGAAGGGGCCAUCGAAUGCCGAUGUGGGACUGCACACGCGUGUGCGAGGCUGCCCCACGCAUGCGCGCAGCGUGUCGCACACGCGAACGGGCCGCGCGGCCCUGAAACACGCGUGUGCGUGGCCACACGCAUGUCCUUCCCCGCACGCGUCCCCCGCACGUGCGUGUCUGCCAACGC
rnacentral:lncRNA from 1 species